UCGGCACACCCAUUCUUCCUCAUCCUCUUCCUCCUGUCUUCCUCCUUUUUCUGUGCUCAAAUCUCUUGGCUUUGUUCGUCUCUUGCUCUGUUUCGCUCUUUCUUCUCGUCGGCUCAACCAUUCUUCUUCCUCCUCCUCCUCCUCCUCCUCCUCCUCUUUAGUUUCUGCUGCUCCUUUUCAUCAUUCUCCCUCUCCGUCUCUCUUUUUUCUCGCUCUUUCUUUCUCAGGAAAAAAAAUCAUAGAAAAAUGUCGGCAGAUCCUGUCGUUGGUAUUGGAUGGGAUGUCUUGAAGAGCUAUGUAGUUGUUCCCAUCGAACGUGGAUUCGGAUACGUGAUCUCCUCCAAGAGAUUCGCCGACCGUCUUCGGGGGGAAGUCCAGAAUCUGGAGAACGAGAAUCAGAGGGUCAAGGUUCUUGUGGAAGAGGCUAGAAGGAAUGUUCGGAAAUUCCUCGAUGUCUUCACGACGUGGGAGGCUAAUGCUGACAAGGCCUUGGAAGAGGCGCAAGAGCUGUUGGACGACGAAAAGGCGACCAAGACUUGCUGCUAUGGGACUCUUCCCGACCCCAAAUCUCGCUACCAGUUCAGCAGGAAGGCCGAGGGCAAGAUCGAGGUCAUUAAGCAACUCACUCAAAAAUGCAGCACAUUCAACGGAUUGAACGACAUCUCCUUCAUCGAUCCUGCUUUCACUUAUUCUGCCUCGACGUCGAUUAAGCUUGGGGAUGAUGGCGUCUUCGAAUCCAGAGCUUUGAUGAUACGGAACAUCAUGGGCGCUCUUGCCGGCAACAGUAAUAGUGUGGUCGGGGUUUAUGGGAUGGGCGGGAUCGGCAAGUCCACCCUUUUAGUGGAUGUUGAAAGGAAAAUAAGCGAAGAUAAGUCGUUCCAUUGGGUCGCUAAGGCUGACGUGUCGGAAAAUCCAGACAUCAAGACGAUUCAAGGAGAGAUUGCGGACGCCUUGGUCCUUACUGAGAUAAAGAACAAAGAGACUAUCAGCGGGCGAGCGAAACUUCUGCACGGGAGGUUGAAAGACGAGGAGAGGGAGAAAAAGGUCCUCAUUAUACUGGACAACCUGUGGGAGGGGCUUGACUUAAACAAAGUCGGCAUUCCUUGCGGACACGACAACAAAGUCAUAGGAUGCAAGUUAUUGUUGACGUCAAGAGAUCGUAAUGUUUUGCGAAGUGAAAUGGGCUGCGACAAGGACUUCCCCCUUGGUGGGCUGGAGGAGGAAGAGGCAAGAAGUUUGUUUGAGAGGCUGGUGGGAGACAAAGUUCAUGAUGGCGAGUUUAAACCCUUGGCGGAUGAAGCACUAGCCAAAUGUGCAGGUGUGCCUUUCCUAAUUGUUGCAAUGGCGAAACGUUUUAAAUAUGCCGAUUUAUCUGAAUGGAAGGACACUUUGAAGAAAAUCGAGAAGUCUAAAGAUAAAAAAAUCAAUGAUUUGAUAAACCAAAUGUUGCAAUGGAAUUAUGAUAAAUUAGAAGAGGAGGUGAAGUCAUUAUUACGACUCUAUGUUGUUUAUGGUAUCUCCAAGCCUUCUCUUGAAAACUUGGUGAGGUACAGCAUUGGUUUGGGUUUGCUUCAAGAAGUAAGCAGCAUGGAAGAAGCUAGAAAUAGAUUGAUCUCCCACAUACAUGCUCUUCAAGCGUCCUCCUUUCUGUUAGACAGUGAAGAUGUUGAUGGUUUCAAGAUACAUGACUUGGUUCAUGAAUUUGUUGUUUCGGUCUCUUCAAGAGAUCACCCUCUUCUCGCGUUGAAAGAUAAGGACGAGUCGAUAACAGAGUCAUCGAAGGACAAGCUCAAUAGUUAUAGGGCGGUAUGCUUUCCGUUUGUUGACAUGGAGGAGCUUCCUCAAGAGUUAUAUUGCCCUGAAUUGCAAAUCUUUUUGUUUUUCACAAACAAUAAAUCUCUUAAGGUCCCAAAUUCAUUAUUUCACUCUAUGAGGAAGCUCAUGGUCUUAAAUCUUACCGGAAUACGUCUCACUUGCUCCCCUUCAUCACCAUUUCAAUUCUUGGAGAAUUUACACACUCUAUGUCUUGACGGUUGUUCAUUAGAUAAUGUAGCCAUUCUUGGCGAGCUGAAAGGGCUACAAAUCUUAGUUUUGUGAACUCCAGUAUUUAUGGAUUGCCAAAAGAAAUUGGGCAAUCGGCAGAGCUGAGGUUGUUAGACUUGAACUAUUGUCCACAACUUGAGAUAAUUGAAUUGGGUGUACUUCAAAGCUUGAUCAAGUUGGAGGAGUUGUACAUGAAUGUUAGCUUUAAUCAAUGGAAUACCGUGGACCAAACUCCACCAAUUAAUGCUAGUCUGAUUGAGUUGAAUCACAUGAAAAAUCUCUGCACUUUGCAUGUGUACAUUCCUAAUCUGAGGAUGCUCCCUGAGGAUCUAAACGUCGGGAAAUUAACCAAGUAUGAAAUCCGAAUAGGUAAUGUGUGCUAUUGGUGGAGCGAGUGCAAAGGAUCAAGGACAUUGGAGCUCAAGUUGGAUCCAUUAGGCAAUGUUCUUCGAAAAGGAUGCAUUCAAAGUAUCCUAGGCAAAAUUGACAAUCUGUUUUUGGAAGGGUUGGACAGAAAUGAGCAAAGUGUUUGUGCGUUAUCCCAAAAAGGUUUUCCAGAAUUAAAGCAUCUACAGGUCAAAGAUAAUUCCUCUAUCCAUUGCAUCCUCCAAUUGCCAUCCAAUGCACAUUUUACGAUGUUGUAGUCGUUAAUUCUCAAUAAUCUCAUCAACUUGGAGAUGAUAUGCAAUAGCCAUAUCUCCUCCAAGUCCUUUAGUACAUUAAAAGUAGUACGAGUCAAAAGUUGUGAGAAGAUGGAAGUAUUGUUUCCUCUUUUAGUGGUGAGAGGACUUCCACAGCUACAAGAGAUUAAAGUUGCCGGUUGCAAGUGAAUGCAGAGGAUUGUAGAUGCCGAUGAUGGUGGCAAAGUUGAGUUUCAUAAUUUGCGUGUAUUGGAAUUGCAUAAUUUGCCAAAUAUUAAGAGCUUUUUCACUAUAGGGAUGGCUUCUUUGAGUAGUAGAUUUCACGACCAAGUUGGCAUUCAAAUUGCAUUCUUCAAUGAGAAACAGGUAACUUUCUGUCAAAAGAAUAUAAUACUUAUUACUAUUUCCUUCCUUUGCUUAUUAGAUGUAACACAGAUUAUGAUGCUUAUUUAUUUUGUUAUUUUCAGUUUGUUAUCUUCCUAAUUACCUUAUCCGUUCAUGCCUUCUCUAUAAUUAGUUAAAGCAAUCUUCCGUUUAAGUUAAUUGUGUAGAAAUCCAACUAAUUGUACAAAAUCCAUGUAAAUUUAGUUUGUGAUAGGUUUUAAAUUAUUUUCAACUAACAUGCUGCAAGUAUAUCUAUAUUUACAGGGUUUCAUAAGGCAAAAUUGACGAGAACUUCAGCAUUAAAGCAUUCCAUAAGUACAGUAAUUUUUAAUCCUUUGAAAUGAAUAUCACUGAAUUUAGUUACCGAACUUUGUUAUUAUUCACAAAAUGUAUAAAAUAGGCGACUCUCUUGAAAACCAAUAUGAAGAAUAGGAAGGAUGAUUGCUUAUAUAUAUAUAAAAGCAACUAUACUAAUCUAAUUGAUGCAUGUCUUUUGUAUGUCGUGUUUAAAUAGGCAUUUAGUCAUUGCAUAGGCCCAAAAAUUAUAAGAAUACAGACUUUUGUGCAUAGGUUUUUUCUUCUUUUUUUUUUUUUAGUGAAAGUACGCCUUGGCAAUUGUAUGACUUUUUGUGCAUGGUUUUUUUUUUUUUUUUACAGACUUUUGUGCAUAGCUUUUUUUUUUUUAAUAGUGAAAAUAGGCCUUGGCAACUGUGUGAUUUUUUAUUAUGCCGCAUCAAAGUCAUCAUUGCAAAUUUGAAAUUCUUGUUGUUGGAAUUCCAAAGUGUUACAUUUCUCUACUCCAUACGGCGGUAUUAAGGCCAAGUUGUUACAAUAUCAAAUGAUGGAACUUGAUGCCUUGAUGGAAAAUCCACCAUCUUAAAGUCCAACUAGUUUUAGAGAGACUCACUUCAAAUGUUUUGAUGGGCCUAGUAUUUUAAUUUGGCACUUGGUAUGUCUUAGUUUAAUUUCCAAAGGUUCAAGUGCUCCACAAUUUAAUCUUCAAGAAAUUUGUGGCGAAAUUUGAGUUUUCUUUUUGUUGAGUCCAUCCAAUUUAGAUUGUGAAUUUUAUGUAGCUUCGAUAUCUUAUCAAGAAAAACCGGUGGGGGUUGCCCAAUCUCGCGAGACCUUAUGUAAUCAUUGCGGUUUCUCUCCAUGUUAAUUUACAAAUCUAAAUACUAAGUCCUUUAAGUAAAUGUCUUCACAUUUGGCCUUUAAAGUAUGUAUAGAUAUAUUGGUAGACAAAUCCACAGUUUGUGUUUAAUAUCCUAUUAAAUUGGUUAUUGAUAGUGAUUUAUUGACAUUAAAAGAAGUCAAGUGAACUAUGGAUAAACAAUUGUCCAAUUAAGGAAAACACGCGUCUAUUUUACACGUGGAAGUAGUUGCUGCCGGUGGAGCCUUUUGGCUGACUAGACAAGAUUGCCCUUUAAUAGUGGCUUGGUUAUAGCUGAAGUUGAUGGUGGGGCCCAAGACUCGGGCCAUAUAUUAGUUUCCCCUUAGUAAAGAGUCGUGGAGAUUUUAGUUGAUGGUGGGUCCCUCAAGGUAGCAUGUCUAAGUAUCUCCACUUCAACCUCGACUUUUCUACUUCGCAUGCAAUAGAGGAGUUAGAUUGGGAGGCUAUGCAAAGAGGCUUUUGGGCUUCUAACUUUCAAGGGUUCUAAAUCUUCAUUAAAGAAUUUUACUCUUGCCUUGAUGCCUUCUCAUUUUAGGCAUGGAAACUAGAGCUGUGAAGAUCUAUGAGAUUAUAAUGAAAUGUUUUUGUUAACUAUAAUAAAUCUCUUCCAACAUUGUAAAGAGGUGGAGCAGACGAAAAUAGCAAUGGAAGGUUGGAUUGUCGAGAAUGACAAUAGUCAAACAAAGAAACGUAAAGAAGUUAAACUUGUUGUAAUAGAUGGGAGUAACAGGCAAUGGCAGGUAGAUGGGAGAUUUCGAGUAACUUUGCAGAAGAAGGGUCUUCCCAAGUUGAAGCAAUGAACUUUUAAGAAGACUAGUUACUUUUUGCCAAAAAUAAAAAAGAGAAGAAAAUAAAGCUGUCCAUUGUAAGUUAUCCUUCAGAAGGAAUAAAACUUGCUCACUAAUCAAAUUAAGUUCCGCAAUCAUUUUCCAAGUAAAGAUUGGACUAUUUAGCAACGACAAUAGUAUAGAGAUUUUUUUCUCUUUUUUUUUUUUAAAAAAAAAAUUCGUUUUUUCCCUUUUGUGGAACUUAAUAAUGCCCCCUCUCUUCUUGGCACACGUAUAUAUUAACAUUUUGGAAGUUCCUAAAUUCGUGAUUUAACUAAAUCACACUUCCAUGAGUGAAUAUUGCAGGUUGUCUUUUCAAAAUUGGAGACAUUAAAUAUCAAGGGCUUGGAUAAUGUCGAGUUUUUGUUUUCCCCAUCCAUGAUUAAAUCUCUCGCACAACUGAGAGAUCUACGAGUAUCUUAUUGCAAGAAGAUGGAGGUGAUCAUUACGAAGGAAGAAGGGUUGUCAUUGGAAAUAUCAAAAACUCUGGCAUUCCCGAUGUUAACUAACUUAAACUUAAAUUGUUUGAAAAGUUUGAUGAGCUUCUCUCGCGAAAAGUGUAAGAUUGAUUUUUUUGUUUUCAUCACUAAAGAUCUUCUUGUGGAUAAAUUCAUCCUUGCAAUACAAAUGGUGACAUUCUUUUCAUCCAUUGAAAAACUUAUGAUAGGUUCAUGAGAAGCUUGGAGUCAGGACUGCAUCAAAUCAUGCUCCACUGCACUCUUCAGUCAAGAGGUACAUGAUUAAUGUUAUGCCAAAAUAUUAUUUAUAUAACAAAAGUAUUAAAUAUGCAAAAGAAAAAGCAUAGCCAAAAUAAGAACUAACUAAAUAACUUACAAAGUGUACCUUGGUUAAAAAUAUUUUAAAGAAAAUGAGUGGUGUACAAACAUAAGUACUUAGAGUUGCCGACAUGUAUGAGUUGCAAUUUUUUUAAUUUUAAUUUCUCUAGAAAUAGUUUCCAUAAAGAUGGUUAAAUAUCUCUUAUCAUACUUGCACAAAGCAUGAACGAGCAAUACAACUGCGAAACAAGAUCUCUAAAAGCUUUUUGAUGUUCAUAGGAAACUCAAAGCUCUUAGCAACCUCGCAUGUAUGGCAUCGACAUUGCACGCAAGCACAUUGAAAGCAAUUUAAGAAACAAUGGAGAGGAAAGUGAUAGUAAUGUUCAAGAAGCUGUAGAUGAAGGGCCUUUAAGAUAGUCACUUGACUUCAUUUGCUCUUAAAAGAUCCCCUUUUUUGCCGUUAAUUGAAGGAAGCUUUAGUCUCCCUUAAUUCCACUAGCAAAAGGUAUUGAGCCCUCUCCGUCGCUAAACUGAGCAAGAAUCUAGGGUCCAGGGCAUCCGAAAUCACUCUUUUAAGUUUUAACAUGAAUUGGAAGACCAAAGUGAUCAUUCAGUGACUUCUCUAAGUGCACUGCAAGUUCAUUUAAUUAUUUCAUCCAUAUUGUAACUUAAAUUACCGUUUCUAAGUGAUUUAACAAAAGCCACGUAUACUAGCUAUUUCAUUCUUGGGUUAGCAAAAAAAAAAGCACCAAUUGUGAUUUGAUUAUUCUGGGAAAUUGACUAAAAUCAAGAGAGGGAGUGAUUUUAUUUAAAUUUGAGAUUAUGAGAGAUAAAUGUGAUUAUAUGAUAGUUCAGGAGCAUAUCCAAAUUACCAUUUUGCCUUGUCAACAAAAUCCGGUCAGAAUUCUCACUUUUUGUUUUGUCUGCAGUAAUUCCAAAAGCCUUCUAGAUCAACAUUUUUUUUUUUUUGUCAAAGAGUCAUCGACAUUUUUGUAUGGACAUUUGUGCAACUUAAGACAGACUCAUUAAUUUCAUGAAUUCGAAAUUUACAUCUUGACAUUCAUCUAUCUUGGAAGUUCAUGAUUAACUCAAUCAUCAAUUCCGUGAGCGAAUAUCGCAGGUUGCAUUUCCUAAAUUGGAGGCAUUAGAAAUCAGUGGCUUGGAUAAUUUUGAGAUGAUAUGGGACAAUAAAGUUGCUGUGGAUUCUUUCCCCAAGCUAAAAACCCUUUGUGUGGUUGAUUGCAAUAAGCUUGUGAGUGUAGUUUGUUCUUUCAUUCUAAGACAGCUCUUGAGCUUGGAAAGAUUGGAUGCAAGAAGAUGUGGUUCGCUUGAAAUUGUUUUUGAACUUCAGACAUUGAAUCGUCUAGAUGGACAUCCUAUUGCUCUUCCAUUAAGAGAACUGACGGUAUCAAGAUUACCAAAGCUAAAGUGCAUAUGGGAUAAGGAAAUCCAUUGUCAAAUAAAUUCCAGUGUCUACGUUCUAUUAGCGUUUCAAGAUGUGAGAGCCUCACCUCUUUGUUUCCAGCCUUAGUAACCAGAUAUCUAAUUCAACUUGAGAAGUUGGCGAUCAAUGAAUGUGGCAUUGUAGAAACCAUCAAGAGUGAAGAAGGACUAUUUCCCAAGUUUGUAUUCCCAAUAUUAACCUCCCUUGAGCUUGAGUGUCUGAGAGAGUUGAAGUGCCUCUACACAAGAACACAUACUUCCCAUUGGCCGGCAUUGAAGACCUUGAAGGUGCAUGGCUGUGACAAAGUGGAGAUACUUGCAUCGCACUCUGAGAAUGAGGUGCAACUUGAUAAACUCCCUCUCUUCUUGAUAGAAAAGGUAUGAUCGAAGAUUACUUCUUUUGCUUUCACAGUGAAUAUUUAAAGUGAUGAUUAGGGUCACAACCAAGCAUCUUAUAUAAGUAGCUCUACGUAGGAAGAUGUAAACUGUAUGACUCACCUUCAAUCUAUAGAAAUAUUUCAACAUUGAAACAUCACAUGUUCUUCAAUUGUUGACUGAACAUUCUUUUCAAAUGUAUGAAAUGCAUUUUUAAUGAUCCCCUUUUAAUAAAGGUUUAGGCUAAUUCCGAGGGUUUAUUUCUCUUCCAAGUGCCACAAAGAUGAAAACACAUGGCAUGUGUCAUGAUCUUAGUAUAGUACAAGUGUCUCAUCUAAUUUAAAUCCUAUCCUGCUAAAAACAGAAAGAUGUGACAUUAUUGUUGACAUUAAUCACUGAAAUUUGUGCACGUGUGACUGUAAUUGAUGCAUAAGUUAUUUUUGCAAGGUAUUUAUCUUUAGAAUCGUGAAUGUAAAGAGUUACAUAAGCUCAAAUAUUUAUACAAGUCAAAUAUACAGAUCAGUGAUAAUGUUUAAUUGAUGUAGGCACAUUUCCUUUCAUUGAAUCACAUGAAACUCAAUAUUUUAUAUAUAUAGUUACCGCGCGCAACAUACAGGCCUUAUAUCCUGAUACAUGAAUGCUCUUUUAACUAAGCUGGCUUUAAAUUCUAAUUUGACUAUUUUCUCAGGGCGCAUUCCCUAAUCUCCAAGAGUUAACGUUGGAUUUAUCGGAACAGAUGGAGAUAUGGCAUGGACAUUUUAAUGAUAGAGAAUUUUUCUGCAAGCUUAGAUUGCUUAAGCUUCGUCAUCUCUCCCAUGAGUCUUCAAUAUCCAUAUGUCGUUUUGUUGAGAGUUCAACCAAUUUGGAAGAGCUAGUUGUAUGUGAAUCUUAUCUAGAAGACCCAAGCAAUAAUGAGGAAGCCAUAGAAGGCACAAUUCAUGACAUGAAAGUAAUAUUACCCUUUUCAAGAUAUAUUCGACAUCUGCAAACUCUAGAUGUGUCACAUUGUGACGAGUUAUCAAAAAUGUUCAGACCGACAAUUGCUGAAAAUUUGGUGACACUCAUUAAAUUGAGGAUAAGUAAUUGUAGGAUAUUGACAGAAGUCAUUAAUGAUGAGAAAGGUGGGGAGGGGUGUAUGGUAGCCUUCAAUCAACUUAAGUCUAUGGAGCUUGAUGGGUUGAUAGGGUUGAGAAGUUUCAGCUGGAUACACUUUGAUGUUCCCGCUCUUGGAAGAUAUCAUUGUGACUAGGUGUCCCAACAUGAAGUUUUUCUCUCAAGGAUCGAUAGGGGCAUCAAAGUUAAAGAGAGUUCAAGUGUCAAAGGAAGUGUGGUUUUGGGCGGGAAAAUUCAACAUCACUAUCCAAAAUAUGUUUGAAGAAAUGGUAUGCACCAAUUACCAAAUUCCAUGCAUUUGGAUGGUUUUGACCACUAAAUGAAUAAUCGCUUUUUGCUAGCUAGAAGUUUACGCUUAACGAUGCAUUUUUUGACAGGGUACGUUUGCUGGAGUAGAGAAAAUGCUGCUGUCUGAGUUCCCAGGGCUGAGUGGAAAAUAGCAUAACAAACUUAGUCCCAUCAAGUUGUCUUGGCAAUUAAAAUCAAUGGUGGUAGAUAAAUCUCCGUUAUUUAUUAACGCUAUUCCAUCCAGAUUGAUGCUUGUCUUAGACAAUUUGGGCUAUUUGCAAGUGUGCAACUAUGAGUUGCUUGAAGAAAUAUUUGAUUUGGAAGGGCUGGAGGUUGUGGAAAGCACUCGAAUACUACCUCAACUAUGGGAAUUGAACUUGGCCAAUCUACCAAAAUUGAGGCGACUGUGGAAUAGAAAUCUUCAAGAAUCAAUGCGCUUUUAUUCUUUGGCUACUCUCAUACUUUAUAAUUGCAAUAACUUGGGACAAGCUUUUACUUCAUCAAUGGCUCAAUGCCUUGCCAGUCUUCAUCAAAUGGAAAUAAAGGAGUGUGGUCAAAUGGAAGAAGUGAUCGUAGAGGAAGAACGGCAGGGAAGUGCAGUGGAGAAGAUUACAUUCUCGAAGCUCCGGCAGAUGAAAUUGGAAUGGUUGCCCAAUUUGACUUGUUUCCUCUCGACAAAAAAUCAUACGCUGGAAUGCUCCAACUUACAAGUGCCGAGCAUUAACCAUUGCCCCAAGAUGAGAAGUUUGACUGGGCAAUCUUGGAUGGAGAAUGACCAUGGCACCCCUGCAUUUUUCACUUCCCAGGUCAGUCUUUCAAACAAAUGCAUCUUUGGCAUUUCAUUUGGAACAUGUUCUCAUAGUACUGGACAAUGCACGGUAUGAUGCAAAUUUUGUGCUUUGUGUGGGUUUAUAUACAUAAUCUUCUAAUAUUUAAUAAUAAGAUUAAAAAUAUUCUAAUCCUCAAUAAAUAUUACUAUUAUAUGUACAUCUCUAUAUUCUAUUAGAAGUGUUAAGUCGUUAUAAGUUCAUAAUUCAUAUCAUGUGCAGUACUUUAGAAUUAAUUAGUGAGGUUUUUAAAAAGGUGAUCACAACAACCAUAUAAAAACAUUAACUUUUUGCAAUUUCAAUUAUAAAGAACUAAAUAGCAAACACAAAAUAGCAUCUAAAAAUGGCAGAAAAAGUAUUAAGUAUUGCCCCUUCAUAUUUACUUGCGUGGAAGCAAAUUAGCGUCGUUCUAUUUAACAUGAAUAAAAGGGAAAAAAACUUCAUAUUUAUAAAAUCCAAUUUCCCAAAUUGCUUAACUAUUACAGCUCAUUAUACCAUAAUCAGUGAGUUGACUUUUUUAUUUCUUAAUAAUCAUCAAUACUUGAGCUAGGUCUUGAUAAUGAGAUAAAUAAAAAUAAAAAGGUCAAUAUGCAUGAAGUGGUUUGCCUUCUCCAUUCGUAAAUCAUUCUCCAUUCGCUAUACUCCAGCAACCUAUCAAAUUACGUACUUGUAUUAUAGAAUAAAUAUUAACUCUAGACUAUUAUAUUUAGUGAUAAUUAGUGUGAUAGUGCACACAAUCUAUGUUAGGCAAGAGAAAAUGUAGAUUACAUUUUCCAGAAAAAGAAAUGGCGAGAAAAAGGAAAAAAUAAAGAGAGAAAAUGACAACUGGAUAAUAAAUAGUAGCAAUUCCGUGGGCGAUUACUGACAUUGCAAGUCUUAUUUCAUAACUAAAUGACAAAAUUUAGUCGAUGUCCAAGCUAAAAUAAAAAUUUGAAAAAUUUAUCAAAUCAACAACACCACCGAAGGGAAAGUAUUAGGUGCAUUAAUUACAUAGCAUAGGAUUCAUAUUAAAUCAUCUGCAGAUCGACGCGUGUCAAUCGAACCAUCAAAAUUUUUGCUCCCCCCUCUCUUCAAAUAACGCCCCGUUACUGGAAAGCUCAACUCUGCUCUUCCUAGUGUGGCUUUUCUCUCUCGCUCUCUUUCCUCUGUGAAGGUGCAUCUCUAUACAUGAACCACACCUCGGCGUUGGCCUCCGUCGGUUGCGGUGCGCUCGCUGAACAACGGAAAAAAAAAACAUAAAAAGGAAGAAAUUAGACGAAGUCUAUUUGAUGUUUUAGCUUCUCUCUCCUUAAGAACUGUUCGCUCUGUCAUUUCGUUUCACCUUCCUCCUCCUCUUCGCGACGAGGGGGAAAAAAGAAAGUGAACCAAGUCUACACAGUCAAGUAACAAUAACUCUUCUUCCUCCUCCUUACCCCCCAUCCUCUACCUUCUUUUUUUGGGGCGAUUGAUAGGGUGAUCCAUCCAAUGGUUGAAUCGGAAGCUUCGGAAUCGCUUCUCUGAAGUAUGCCUCCUCUCUACACGCGUGCAUGUGUGGGUUUUGAGCAAUUACGCAAACUGGAGCUUGUUGCUUUUGGUGGGCCAAUGGGAUCUCCGAUGCGGAAGCGAUUUCAGCAUUGAUUCAGCUGGGGCAUUGAUUCUGGCGAAGAAAAAUUAAAAAAUCUUCUCUUCAGCCCUCCCUUCCUCCUCCUUCGUCCACAGCAGCCCAACCUCCGCCCCUCCUCCGCCGUCGCCCACGGUGGAGUUACCGGCACCUUGAUUAGGAUGACCCUCACUAUGUCUAAGCUGAGCAUGGCCGACUUCCUCUGAUUUGUCCGUCUCAUUGUUCUACAGAUCUCGAAAUUAGGCUGACCCUCACUAUGCUUGCGUUUUUUCUUAUUCUAAUACUUUUGCAUAAUUCUUUCUAUUGUUGCCUGCGAGUAGAAUGUUUAAUUAUGAGGAGUAUCUAUAUAUUUGUUUACUUUUUUAUCGUAACAGUUAUCACUAAUUAUUUAUUUACUUCUAAUGUCAUUUGCAUGUAUAAGUUGUCAUGUAAUAAUAGGUAUCCCCGCACAUUUUGAGGAUAUUUCAAAAACUUAUUGUUACACUGAAUCGAGAAUACUAAUAAAUUUGGGGAAGCAUAAAAAUAGUCAUAUGAUUUUUUGGUAGUGACAGGUUGUGAUAGCGUUAAUUUCAUUUUUGUGUCAAAUAUGCGCUGCCUGUAAUACUAAGUUGCUCCCACAUUGUUAGAUAAUUUCAAAUACUCAUCAAAAUGCUCAAUUAAGAAUAUUAAUAGACUAAGGGAAGUGUGGAAAGUCAUUUUGUUUUUUUGGUUGUGAGAAGUCCUAGUUGCGUUAACUUUAUUGUAACCAAAUGAAAAAUAUCAAUACUUUGCUUUUUAGUGGACAAUCAUAUUGUGGUCAUAACACGGUAAAAAAAGAAAAGAAAAAAAAACACAGUUGAAUUUCUCCAAACAAACGUAUUGUGGUCAUCCGCUUCUUUUUUCAGUUCUUUUUAUUUUUCUUUUAGUCUCCAACACCCGAACAAAACUCCAAAAUCCUCAAGACAAGGCAUCAAUUAAGGAUAAGAAAUUGGUUACCAUUUUUUGUGAGUGGUUGGCCCGCUAGCCCACUGCAAGAUUCUACCACAAAAGUGAAUAAAUAAUAUUUCAAGCAAAGUUAUUAAUGGUCCAAUGUAGAAUUAGUAAGUUGGCCCAACUUGCUAUUCUAUGAGAUCAUAAUAUAUGUUAAUUAUUCCAAUCAUUAUAUUGUCCGUGCCUAUUACAUAUUUAUUUUUUCUAAUACAAAAAUUUUUCUGCACAUAAUAAAGAAAAAACUUGUAAACAGUUGAAGUAAUUAUUAUUUUUAUCCGGUUCACCAUCUAAUUUGCAUGAUGCUCCUCAUUUGUGAACUUUAUUAAUUGAAGAUUCAUAAGUAAUGUUCGCCUAUUACAUAUUUAUUUUCUUUCAAUACAAAAAUUUUUCUGCACAUAAUAAAGAAAAAACUUGUAAACGAUUGAAGUUAUUAUUAUUUUUAUCCGGUUCACCAUCUAAUUUGCAUGACGCUUCUCAUUUGUGAACUUUAUUAAUUGAAGAUUCAUAAGUAAUGUUUCGCAAUUGGUAUUAGUGCUGAAUAAGUAGCGGUGCUCAUAGUAAAUAGAGGAAAUAAUUUCUAUCGCAGGAAGACACAUUUGAUGAGUGUCGGACUUGAGUUGCCAAUCAAUUGUAAGUGAAGAUGCACAAAUCUCACUUGUGCUCCCAUUCCAUGGCUUAUUGAUCCCAACCAUUGAUCUAUUUAAAAAGUUAUUUCUAGAAUUUAUUACUCAAUGCAUCAAUGAUUGAUGAUGAUUAAGGCACCAUAUGGCGAAAAAAUGGGUUAGUAUAUCUCCAUCCUUUCCAUAUAUACAUGGACAUACUUAUAUAAUCAUCUUCCAUGCCCAUGCUAUUAAAAAGCAAAUAAGCAUCAUUGUACAAGAUUUCUUAUGUCUGUACAAAUAAACGCAAUGUCCAUGCAGCUGAUUCACUUUUGCUAAUAAUUUUUUGAUUAUUCUAAAUCUACUAGAGAUGAAAAUGGGAAGUUAAUUUCUUUUAAUUGAUAAGAAAUAGAUGUAGAACCAGCUUAUACCUAUCGCUGAAGCAUCAUUAUAAUGCACCUAUCAGUGCGGCAUUGGAGCCAACAUAAGAAAGAGAGAGGAAUGACAUGUAUGCAUAUCUCGAUUGGAUUGCAAUGUGAAGCACAUGCAUCAAAGCUUCUUUGAACCAUGCUUCAGCUACAUUCAUUCCUUGAACCGAAUAAAUUUAAGAAAUUCUUACCUUAUCUAAUGUUGCAUUAUCAAAAAAUCAGUGCAAGCAACUUUGAUAAUGAUCAAUGCAAACAAAUGUGAAAGUUGGAGAAUCCAAGUAUUCAUCAUGAACUUUCCAAAAAUUAAAGGGAGAAGGUAUUGCUAGUAGUAAAUGUCAAUUGAGGCACUUAAAAUUCAAUGCUCAAUGUACUAUUGAUUAUAAAUGCAUUUAUAAUUUCAUGCUUGUUGCAAUGCAAUAUAAUUUGCCUUAGUCAUUAGUCAAUUUAAAUGAAAGCAUCAACUACUCUCUUUUUUUCACUAACAAGCUCUCGCAUACUCAUGUUUUGUGAGAGUGAGGGAAGUUUAGAAAUUCUUUCUUUGAGGUCAUAACUCAAUGUGAUCAUAUUCAUUAUGACAUUUUUCUCAAUAUGCUAGGUACAAUGUGUCCAGCUUAGGUGGAUUGUUCUCUCCCAUAUGGACAAUUUAAGCAAAAUAUGGAGUGACGGUCCUCAAGAAACUCUCACUUUUGACAAUUUACAGAAAGUGCAAGUUCACAAUUGUGGGAGCCUUGAAAGUGUGUUUCCGCAUUGGGUGGCUACAAGUCUAACCCAACUUAAGGAACUUCAAGUGGAGUCUUGUGGGAUUGAGGAAAUAGUCACUAGUGGGAAUGAGACUCCACAUUCCAAUACUACUCAAGAUCUUUUCCCAGAAUUAACCUCUCUAGUGUUACUGAUAUGCCACAACUUAAGAACUUCUGCACCAACUUGCCCACUUUGAAAUGGCCAUUCUUGAAGGAAUUGCGAGUGACUCACUGUGGUAAAGCAAACAUGAUGUCUUCUGUAGCAUCUAUGAGCAAUUGGGCUCAAAAAGAUUAUCAAUGGGGCCUUUCAGACCAAGAAGCACACUCUUUAUUUGAAAGGGUAUGAUUUCAGCUGCUCUCCCUUAGUUUCUAUUUUGUUCUUUAAAGCACUCAUUGAUCUCAUAUCCACUACAUAAUCAACCCACGUUAUAUUGCUAUAGAAAACAUGAUCUCUCUAAAUUAUUAGUUUGUUCACAACAUUAAAAUAUUUCUAAUAUCUUGAGUAUACUUUUCAUUUGUGGACACCCAUAAGAUAUUUCAUAAAUUAUAAUUACAAAAAUAAUUAUAGAUUUUUGUUGAAGGCACAAUAUAUUCCUAAUCUAGUCUAGUGGUGCUCCUUGGGGAAAUCAAUGAAAAUUUGACAUGAGGUCCACUUCAAUGUUGACACGUGUUGCACAUUUGAACUUUUCUUCUCUAUUUUGUCUUCUAAAAAAUCAAAAAAAUAAAAUAAAAAUCAAUACAAACGUUUAACAAAAAUAAGAUUAGUACCUUAAUGCACUAUUUUCUAUUGUAUUCCUUAAUUGAUCUCAUCUUAUACAUAGUCAUCCUGUUGUAUCACUAUAGACAACCCAAAAUUCCUUACCUAUGAGUUUGAAGACAAUAUAAGAUAUUUUAUUAUAUCUUAGGCACACUUUUAAGUUUAUGGACCCAUAUGUUUCAGUAAUAUCAUAUGUGCAUCCCAUUACAUAAGUUUCCGAAGAUGACUAAUUUUAGUUGACAAGAUAUUUCUAAUAAAAGAUGAAUUUGAUGAGCUUGGAGGGAUCUUGACAAGUUCACUCUAUAAACUUAACCAUACCAACUUCUAUUUGAGACUUUUAAAAGCUUGAGACUUGAAUGUAGGGCUCUUGAGAUAUAAUGAACUUUAAGAAGAUGGCCACCUUCCUUGUGAAUCAUCUUAAUAGGUUUACUUUUUACAGCACAUGAUUUAUUGUCAAAACUUUGCUGAAUUUACUUCUCUUGUUGUAUUGGCAAUUCGACAGGAUUUUCCCAACUUGGAGAAACUUUUUUUAGUCAAUAACAAUAUUCAAAUGAUACAAGAUGGAAAUUUUCCGGAUGACAUGUUUAGCGAGCUAGGAGCACUAACACUGGCAUGCUUUCAUGAUAAAAAGGCCGUCUUUCCUUCCAUAUUCCUCCUAGAGAGAUUUCAGAAUCUACAGAGCCUUGAGGUCUUCUGUAACUCCUUUGAAGAUUUAUUCCCGGACGAAGGGUUUGUUGAAGAAGGGAAACAUCCAAUGCUUGAAAAUUUAAGAGAAUUUAAAUUAAACAAGCUACGCAACUUAAAGUCUGUGUGGAGAGAAGACUCUUUAGUGUCGAAAAUUCUUUAGAGCAUCGAAACAUUAAAGGUUUGGGAUUGUCCUCAUUUGAUGACAAUAUUUCCGACCAUGACAUCCUUCCGGAAGCUGACGGGCUUAGAGGUGAAGAAUUGCGCUAGAUUGGUACAUCUAAUAAUAGCUUCAACGGUCACAAAUUUGGUGCAUUUCAAAAGGAUAACUAUAAUAGAAUGUGAAAGAAUGAAAGAAAUAGUAGCUGACGAUGGAAAUGGAAAAGGAAAAGUGAUUUCUUUUGGGAAUCUUUUGGAUUUGACACUCCAACAUCUACCGAGCUUAGAAUGCUUCUCCUCCAUUCCGAGUUGCAAUUUUACGUUCCCAUCCUUAUGAAGUAUUGGAGUAGAAGAGUGCCCGAAAAUGAAGACAUUUUCUAAGAGUAUGCUAAGCACACCACGACUAAUUUGGGUGAGACUAUUCAGAUACAAGUUGGAUGGGAACUGUGGGGAGGGUAAUGAUCUUAAUACAACCAUACAGAAGUUAUCAGCAUAAACAAACGCAUAGAAUUUGUAAGAUCCAAUUGACGUCAUUCUCUCAUCCAUUUUUAUUUUCUUUUUAUUUAUUUAUUUUUGGCAGUGCCGUAAGUUUUGAAAAAUUUUCUUCUUGUAACUUUUCUGUUAUUGAUUCCGUCAUAUCAGCAUCACCGUCAACCCUAUCGAUCGAUCUCGGCUCAUCCUUCACUAAACAGAAGGAAGCAAAGCAGGGCUCUCCUUCUCCUUCCUGACGCCAGAGGCUCUCUCCAUCUUUCUUCUUCCUCCUCGGUGGAGCAAAACUGGGGGGAACCUCUGCUGCCUUCACCGAGGACGGAGCGAAAAUGAAGCAUCAGGAAUUGCCAGGACUGCGAGACUGCGAGAAGCGAAGCUGCACUUAGCGGAGCGGAGCCAAGUAGAUUCAGUCGUCCGCUCACUUCAUCAAAGCAGAAGAAGAUCACACUCUCUCUCCGCGUUUGCAUCCGACAAAUCGUAAGUUCACGUUUCUUCCGAUUUUGGUGUCUUAUUGCGUGUGAAUUAGGUUGAAGCCGGAAGUUGGUUUCGUAGAGACCUUCCUCAAUCCUCGCCUCCUUCUUCUAUGGCUAGGGCCCUUUUCUUCAACCUAGCAAUUUUAUUGCCCCUAAAUCCACAUCUUCUGUGCUUUCCUCGCGAGCAUUGGCGAGAGAAACGCGUCUGCGUAGGACAUCUCUGCAUGUUUGAGCUCCCAUCGAUGGAGAUGAUAUAGGGAGAGAUAUCUCUCGAGCAUCAUGAAACUUGAAAAUAUUCAGAGAGAAUUCCAUGCCUUGUCAAAAAUAUGAGGGGGUCACUUUUACGCCUUGUUCUCAAUGUACUCCAGACUGCUCAUCCUCAUGAGAAUUUCUUGUGGUUUGACGUGUCUUUGUUUCUGCUUGCGUAACUCUCUUUCGCAUUGUUCUUUUCAAAUUCUAGAAUAAAUUUUAACAAGCCCUUUUACUUUGUCUUGAUUGGUUACGAGAUGCUGCAACGAUAAAAUUUGUUUCCAAUUUAUGCUAAAUAUUUUCAUAGCAAGUCAAACUGAUGAAGUGUGCUUAAAUUGCCUCUUCACAGAACUGUCCCUCUCGGUGCUUUGCUUGCCAUCCUCUUGUGGUCCAAUCCAGGUACAGUUGAGGCGCCGUCGUUGUCUCGCGUUUCUUUUAUGUAGAGCAAUAACAUGGUUUUAGCUUCAGUUUUCAUUCGGUUCCUUUCAAAUUUAAUUCGUACCUAUUCUGCUUCUGCAUUCUGCAUGUCUGGUCAAUGGGAGGGAACUCCCGGUGUUCAUCUUUUUUGUUGGGGGAAUGGUUAUUGGAAAAAGCGAAGGGUGUCUUCGAGCUUCUACCAUUGAGAAGGAUAAGGUUGUGUUUUUAGAUGUGCAUCCAUUACACAAGGUUUUCGCGGCUUGCGGUACUUGUUAUGAUAAGCUUUUGGAUAGUGGAUGCAUCUAGAGUUAGGUGGUCCUAUUGAUCAAUCGUUCGCCCUUUUUGAAGUCGAUGCAACUAGGAUGGUCAUGUAAGGAGUGUGCUUCGUUUCAUUGGCUAUAAAAGAAGAUGUCAAUGCGAGUAGAACAAUGUCGACAGUCUUUUUGACGCCUUGUUCUCCAUAAACUCCGGACUGCUCAUCAUCAUGAGAAUUUGGAGGGGUGACUUGCGGUUUAACAUAUCUUGUUUCUACAUUCCUAACUCUCUUUCUGUCUUUCUCUUCAAAUUCUAGAACAGUUUCUAAGAAGCUCUUGUUUUUAUCUUGAUUGAUUACUAAUGAUGUGGGGGAUACUUUUGACUUCUGAUCUAUGCUGAAUAUUUUCAUGGCAAGUGAAAUUUAAGUUGCCGUUUUUCAAGUACUAGGAGGACCAAACAGUUAGCGGAUUAAGGCAUCCUGAGCUGGUUUUUUUAUGGUCCCACUCACCCAAGGCCUCUCACUGUUUUUAAAUCGGCUGAUAACUUUCCCAAUGGAGUACCCUUUUUCGAGGUGGUGAUGAGGCCCUCUUAUGUUAAGCAUGGCUUGGUAUGAUCCCACGCUUAUUGACUCAGACUGGCAAUGUCCGAAAAUCAAAUAUAUCGAUGCUUUUUAGAUCUUUGCUUAUAAUCUAGUGUAUUUCCAAGUUUACUUCAUUGUAUAGUAUACCACACGAUACAUUAUUUCCUUGAAGUGUCUGCAUUUCCAAGUUUACUUCAUUGUGUAGUAUACCACAUGAUACAUUAUUUCCUUGAAGUGUCCGUGGGUGGUUGGAGGUUCGAAAAGAUAACAAUCGUCUUCUUCUUCUUGUUGGAUAGAUGUUGUUGGAAAAGCAAUUGCUGAGGCGUCUUAAGAAUAGAAUCCAAGUUCUCUAAUAUGGAGCAAUCGGACAAUGUUAUUCAAUGCUGUAAAUUUAGAAUAUAUAUGUAAAUCACACCAGGAGACUAGUUGAUAUGGACAAGCAAAUUGCAAAGAAUUGUUGCUGCCUCCAUGACUAAAGAGAAAGACCUGAUAGAUAAGGGGAUGGCUUGUUAUGAUUCUGAAAUUUCAUUGUAGAUCUAAUGAUUGAUAAUUUUGUUUUCAAAUGGGAGAUACUAUUGUACUUCGUUAUAUUAAUCAAAUUUAGGGGGGAAAAGAUGAUUUUACUUUGUCAAAUUGAACCAACGGUUUGAUAAAAACCUUAUUUGAGCUGCACUUGAAAGAAUCAAAUAACUUAGGUUUAAAUUUUCAAGUCUAUCGAUGAUCCAGUGAUCAAUGUAUUUGCUUUUUCCCCUGUGAUUGUGAUUCGUGUGUCUGAAAUUGAUAUGUUUUAAAUAUAUAUAGGAUCUGGAAGGUUUCUUCUGAAUGUAUACCCUUUUGCAUUCUCGGAGCAUAGAUUUGACCUUGACUUUGGAUUGAUGGCUUUCGUUAUAUGGUUAUUGUCUAUUAAACUCCUGAAACUAGCAAGUAAUGCCUUAAACUCACGACAUGUACGAUUUGAUUCUCUCAUUAGGGUAUGCUUAUGUCUUGGUCUGUUCUUCACUAUAUGUUGGUUUUUCAACCAUGUAGAUGGGCAGUGUGCUCCUGUUCAAUCCAUCGCGUGACAUAUUCAGGACAUUAAGCAAAUUGCCACUCUCGGGUAUUUGGAUAGGUCAUGGAUGGUGAAGGUAAGGAGUUGUAGAUGAGAAUUUUUUUUUUUUUUUUUUUUUUUUUGGGGUGGGUGGGGGGCAGGGGUUUCUUUUUCACUGGUUGGCCCACAUUUGGAAGAGAAAGUCAUCUGUAUGUAGAAACUCAUUGAUAGGGAUGAUUUUGUGUUCAGAGUCUAUACAUAUUUACUAGUGCUGGUUAGGACUUGACUUACAUUGAUUGAGAUGAAAUCUGGAAUUGUCACUUUUGCUGGUCCAAAGGAAUUCAGUAUUCCAAAUAAUAACCCCUUUAUAUAGUCUUGAGGAAUCAAGGAAGGGUACUUCUAUGCCGAUUGGGUUUUAUGAAGUUGAUCAUAAUCCAUAUGCACACUCAUUAAUGCCACAUUCCAAAUCUGAAUAAACCGAAAAGCAUGUGCUUCAAGAUGUCCUUUUUGGUUUAUGCAUUCUUGUUAUGUUGUUCUUCGUUUUGAAUUUGAAAUCAGGACUCAUAGGCUUAUUAAGAUUAUGGGUUUUAUUUUUUCCACAGGGAAUACCAAAAAGGUCCAAGAGGACGCUUUUGAGAGAAUGGUGCAAUUAUUUGGCCUGUGGAAUUGGAAAAAAUGUGAUGAGAUGAUUUGGCUAGCAACGGGUUGGAAUGAAUUUGCAGAGCAUUACUCUAUCUAUGAGGGCCAAUUUUUGGUCUUCUAAUCUGAAGGGGACUCCAUUUUCCAUGUCACCAUAAUUGAUGAAAUAAUGUCCGAGAUAGAAUAUCCAUCAAUCAAUGUCAAUGUGAGGAACCGAGCCUCAGCAAUUGUGGAAUUGUCUUGCUGAAAGUGGAAGAUGCCUUCGAUUGCUGUGAUGUUUCAGUCAAGCUUGAAGUCUAGGGAGAUGAAUUGCAUUCAGCCAAGUGUCCUCAGUCUUGUAUGGAAAUGGAAUUUGUUCAGGUUUGCAAAGUUCAUGGCGGUUCCUAUGCAUAUUCAUCAGUAGAGUUUGGGGAGGGACAGAAAUUCGAACUGCUCAUCACAAGAUUUUCCAGGUGUGAAUCUUAAUUUAUAAGCUAAUUCUCCCCUUGACUGUGUUGUUCUUGUGUUUGAUUCAAAUACUGUACAGGAGCUGUCCAUGUCGUUAGGCUAAGAGAAACUGCACUAGAGUUAAUGCUACGAGAAACUGUGUUAGAGCUAAUUCAUUUUCUUAGUGUUUCUCUGUCUCUAGAUCUCCCCUGUGUGCAUAUGUAUGUGUUGGGACUAAAUGUGCCGGCGAUUGCCGUGAUGUUUUGGUUGAGCUUGAAAUCUUGGGGGAUGAACUGCAUUCAGCCAAGUGUCCUUAGCUUUGUAUGCCAAUGAAACUUGAUCAGGUUUGCAAAGUUCAUCACAGUUCCCAUGCACAUUCGUUACCAGAAAGUUUGGGGAGGGACAGAAGUUCAAAUUGCUCAUCAUGAGAUUUUCCGGGUGUGAAUCUGAAUAUAUUAGUAAAUUCUGCCCUCGAUGUGUUGUUCUUGUGUUUGAUUCGAAUUCCAUCAGGAACUCUCCACAUUGUUAGGCUAAGAGAAAUUGUGUUGAAGCUAAUUCACUCUCGUAGUGUUUCUCUGUCUAUAGUUCUCCCGUGAAUAUGCAUGUGUUAGGGGAUCUCAUAAAUAAUGGAAACAAGCUAAGAAUCGUAUUGGUGUGCAUAUAGGCCUUGGGAAGCUAGACCAUUAGUAAGACUCAGAUUGAUUCAUUUAGGGUUGCUGGGUUGGCAGAUACGAGUUUUACAUAACAAGAAUAAGAUACAAAAGCAAAAGCUUUCUUCAUGUUCUGUUUGUGACUACUGCAGGUAAGCUGAAAAAGUGGCGCUUAUGCAGAGCUCUCGAACCAGCCAGCAAAUUUAUACUCGAUUAUCCUUUCUCUGAAAUUGCGGUGAGGUUAAUACAUCUGAAGAAAAACAAUGUGGUAAGAUCCUUGUAAUAAUGACGACUCUUGGAUUUAAAUCACAUAAAGCAACCUCAUACUGUCUUCCUCAGAAAUCCUUGGUUGUUUUCUUCUUUGUAAUGACAAAAUUGCGCAAUUUUUACUUGAGCAGAGAGUUCCUGGUUCAUUCCCAAAGACACACGUUAAGAAAAGCCUGCAGACCAUGGCUCUCAUAUUUCAAGAUAAAUCAUGGCCGUUGAAGCUCAUCAGCCACGAGCAUUAUGGAAAGUCAUCUGCCUGCACGAGAGAAACUUCUCUGAAGGUGGAAGAUGUGUGUGUGUGUUCAAGCUUUAUUGAAAGGGACAAAUAUCGGGUUCAGAGUAUCCAUCUUCAGAACCACUGAUAAGACUUGGGUGUAUAAUAAUACCAUGCAAUACGAUAAAGCAAAGGAAGCAUCGCCUUAGCUCACUUUUGGUGAGAAUAGAACUUACAGAAUUGCUAGGCUGAAUUUUGCUUCCGGUUCAGCAAAAUGGAUGAAAGCAUGAGUUUUGUUCCAAUGGAUGGAAUGGUCUUGAACGUGUACGAUACCUUUCCUUGAUCCUGGACUUAGUGAUCACCAUGUGGGCAAGAGUCGUGAGUUGGAGGGAGCUGAUAACUAAUCUGUAACUUCCAUUUCUAGAGAUGAUCUUUCAAAUUUGGUGCUUCUUUGAUGUUUCCGGUGGCUCAACCUGACCUUUGAAAUUGUCAAUGGUAGUAACGAUAAUUUUACAAGCUCCGGUGAACUUACAUCAGAUUCUUUUCGUCGUCUCUUUUCGAUUUUCUGAAGAUUUCGUGAUCAGUCUUUUCAUAUGUAAGUUUGUUAGUUUCUUCUCAUGUGAAGGGCUUUCAGAAUUUUUUUUAUUUCUAUUUUUUCAUAUAAACUGCAUGUUGAUAUGCAUGACAAAGCAAAUAUGCUGGCAUCUUUGCGUCACUGCAGCACGACUCUUCCGGAGGCUCUCUCUCGACACAGCAUCCGAGCCUCCAAUAGUGGCUUUUCGUCUUAGAAUCGGCAACAGCUUGGUGCUUUCGGACUCGCUCUCGCUGCCAGAUAAAGCUCUUCAAUUCUCUCUCUCUCUCUCUUCCUUGCAAGAGCUCAAUACCUCCUCCAAAGUCCAAAGUGCAACCGACGGCAAUGGAAAUUCGGGAGACGACAAGAGGAUGGGGGAAAACAAAAGCGAAACAUCCUGGAGAUGGGACGUCCCGGCAAUUGUGACUGUUGAUCAAGGAAACUACUCCGUGGUCAAGUUUCGCUGUCGUGGCUGCAAGGCGACUGGUAUCUUCGAAUCGGUAGCCACACUCUUUGUGCUUCCGUCGGUGCUGGAAGCAACAAUCGUCAGAGAACUCAAUCUCGAUGAAUCGUUGGUGGGUGCUCCAUUAACGGUUGGACUCUCUCCAGAUUUUCUCCGACUAAAUUUUUUUUGCAUCUUCUCUCUCUCUGGCUCUGGAUUCCCCUGAUUCAUCUCCACCAAUCCAGAUCAUCCCCACGGUGAAGCACACCAUCAGAUUCCAUAUUCGAGUCAUGGCCACUCUGAUUCGAGUCGUCGCUUUUCCUGUCCUUACCCAUGUCUGUCGCUGGGCCAUCUCAGGCUCACGCGGCCAUCACCGCCGAACCAUCAUCAGGGCCGUUUCAUGUCCGAUUUAAGUUCCAAGUCAAAUUCCGAUUCACUCCAUAAUACGUUCUGUUGACUCUUGCUUCGUUCUGUUCCACUCCCACUUCAUCGCCGUCUUUCAAUUCCAUCGUUUCGCCCAUCUAUGCCGCGUGCAAAGGGGAUGCUGAGUGGUGUGUUCACUGUUUACAAGAGCUUUAUCUGAUUGCCAAGGCUGAGGUUGGAUGGAUGAUCAUCUGGAUACGAUCCACCGAUUCGAAGGAUGAGAUUCUUCGGGUUUAGCUCUCGGCUCCCCCGCCGGUCCGGCCUCGCUUCAUCAACCACAACAGCCGAGGCCAAUCUGGGUAGUCAUCAUCAUCCGAGACGAUAUGCCAAGCGUGAAGAUUGGCGACGGUGAGCACGAAGAGAAAACAACGAAGAACAAAAAGGAGCGAAGCAGCGGAUGGAGAUGAUUUGGAUUUUGCGUGGGGAUUGUGGGGAAAACGGGACAAACGAGGUGAAGCCGAUGGUGGUUCUUUGGAUGAGAAGGAAAUAAAGUGUUGAAAAAAAAGAAAAAAAAAAAAGAGACGAAGGGAAAAAAUAGAGUGCCCACGAGAAAUCGAUCAAAAGGAAGACUUGCAGAAGAGAUGUAAUUCGUCAUUCCAUCGAGCACCUUCCUUGCAAACUCGAUCCCUCCUCCACAGUGCAACCAACGGCAAUGGAUCUUUGGAAGACGGCGAGAAAGAAUAGGAUAAAAACGAAUGGAAACAGAUAUCAACAGACGAAGUCAAAGCAUGUCGAAAUUAAUUCUAGAGUCAAAUCGAAGAUGAAAUGACAUGGUGAUAGGAACGACCGUCGAUCUGACAUAUAUUAUCAUCGCCUGAAUGUCAGCAAGGAACGGGCUAUCCAUGGAUAUUUCUUAUGGUGCGAUCUUCGUUCCUCCGUCUGUUGUUACAGAAUCGUUUCACUUUCUCUGUCUCUCUAAGCGCAAUUCAACGAACACCUUCUGCUCAGAGGACGCAGCACAUUCAAUGACCAGGAAACUCCGUGUGUCAAGUUCUUCGCCAUGCAUCGUUUUCUCUACGUCCAUCUUCAUUCUUCACCAAGUCUUCCUCCAUCAGGGUCGUUUCCUAUCCGAUUGAACUUCCGAGCCCAGUUUCGAUUCAUUCUAGAAUACGUUUUGUCGAUUCUUGCUUCGUUCUCUUCUCUCCCACUUCAUCGCCGCCUUUCGGAUUACAAAUGCAGUCGCUCGCGUCCUUCGUUUCGCCCGUCUAGGCCGCGCACAAAGGGGAUGUCGGGCUGGUGUAUAGGAUCCACUGAUUUGAAGGAUGAGAUUCUUCGGGUUCACUAGCGGCCCUCCUGCCGGUCCGAGAAGCCCGUUGAAAGGAAGACUUGCACAAAAGAUGGAAUUCCUUGAGAGGAAGAUUCAUCCCACAACUGAGCCAUCAUUUUCAUUUUCUUUUCCUUAGAAAAAGGCAUCAAAAACUCCAAACGACGCCAUUACCGCGUCUCUUCGCUUCACAUACCUUUGUCGGAUCUCUCCCUCCAUCUCGAUGCACUCCCUCGCUCAGUGAAUUCCGAGUCGCUCCACCAUCACCCUCACCGUCUACUGCUGCCUUGAAACCGAGUUGCACUCACCUAUUUCCAGUGCGAGCCUCGUGAUUGAUUCCGUCCCUCGCCGUCUUUAGAAACUUUCGGUGAUAAUUUUUUUUUUCCUUCUUCCGGUUUAAAUCGCGUUUUCGUAUUGUGGAUUCUUACGUGUUUUGACAGAGGCUUCAAUCUGGUGGCCUCGAGCAAUGUUUAAUGCUCGUCAUUUUGCUCAUCAAUGGAGUUCGUGUCAGAUUUUUUUUUUUCCUUUUUUCCUUGUUUCCAAUCGUGAAUCCGAGACCACUUGGAAACGAGCGAAGAUUGAACUGAAAACGUCGUGAGAAAUUGCCACAGCGAACAAGAGUUGUGCAGAGUUAAGCUCGGUCAAACAAUGGUUCCGUUUUCCUCUGUUUUUUGGCAUCCUAUCCUAUAGUUACUUCUGGAUUUAGUUGUGGUGCAAGGGUGACUUACUAGCCAUUCCUGAUCAGUCCUUCGGUUAAUGCUUUUCUCUAAAUCUCGACUUGAGGAAACCUCGGAACAUAAGUUUUUGCACUUCCUCAAAUAAUUUCAGUAGUUUGUCUCAAUAUUUUCCGUGCUCAGCUAGCUUCACAUUCUAUAUGGAAUCCAUCUACAAUGUAAUAAUCUCUUCUACUAUAUGUGAGAAUACCCUAGAGUUGUGUAAUGCGGUCGAUGGUACGAAAAGUGCUAGGUAUAAACAAUCGGUCUACCAACUUGGUGUGCAAAUGAGAUUUUUCCCAUCAUGUAGUCUUUUUGUACAAUCAAGUUACUAAACUUUGAUUUCAAUUGCCUGAUGCACUAACAUUAUUUUUCCCCCUAUCCAAUCAAUGCAUUAUGAAGACUUUUCAAACAAUUUUUCUACGCAUUAUUGACGUGGUGUCUUACAUAUCUGAUUGGAAAUGCUAUUACAACGACAUGAUGCCAUAUGGGUCUCAAUUAAGAAAAAAGCCAAAAACAAAAAGUUUAAAAAAAGAGAGGGUUACGUGGCCCUUGUGUUACGAGGGGAGGUUCUCAAGGCGUAAGCCGAUCAAGAGGAAGCUAAAGUGAUCAUAAGUAUCUAAAUCCUUUUUUAUCCCCAUUAGAUUUUUAAAGAUUUCUUUAAUUGAGUCCAUAAUUACUAUUUUCAUUUCAAUAAGUGAUUUUAGAGUCAUGAAAAAUCUAGUUGCUAGAAGCAAGCCAAACCAACACAAUGGUAAUUUCGUCACAUAUUUUUACCAACACAAUCGUAAUUUCAUCACAUAUUUUUACGCUCAAGGGCAUUGGUUUAUUUACUAAAAUAAUCAUUACUUAUUGAAGUUUGCCUCCACUAAGAAAAAUCUCUAGAUGCAUCCAUGGAUCAACCAUAAUUUGGUCGGGUUUCGAUUAAGUUACAAUUUCUGAAGUUCAUUCCGCAAUUGAAAUGAGAAUUUAAUGAUUGAUUGCAAAAAUGCGCUAUAUAAUUCAGUCAUCACAAUUGAUUUACCCUAAAUAAGUAGGUCUUAUAUUUUGAAGGUCAGUCUUAGUGCGUUUAAUAUUGUUCUUUAAGUAAGUAAUAGUAAUAUUUGUGUUCUUUUGGAUAUAUAACGCAAUUCCAACACAAGUCCACACUUUAACUUCUGGCCUAGCCUCAUCCGAUCAAACUUUCGCAAAAUUCCCAUCAAUCAAUCUCCUUUUCCUCUUCAACCGAGAGGCCAUUCGUAGCCACAAUCACCGCCUUCUCCCCAUCUUCAGUUGAAUGAAAACCUGCUGAAUGAGCGUCAUGCGAUCUUUUGCGGCCAUUUUGGCUCAGUCUUUGAAAGUUGAGCUGAAAACUUUUAGGGAAUAAAUAUCUGAAAUCAUUUGAUAUAGGACGACACACUCUGCUUCUGCUUUGGAAUCGUAGGUUAGUGUUAGUUUUUGAAUUUGUAUGUCAGAGAGAUGAGCUAGUCACGUAUCCAUCUUCAACUGUUGAAGUUUCUGCUGUAGGCAAAGGUGAAAUCAAGACUUGAUUAUGUGCAAGUGUUCUGCCUGGGUUUUCUCAUGUGAAAUCUAGGGAAACCAAACAACCUCUAAGCUGUGAUUUCUCCUAUUAUAGGUCUAGGAGAAAAUAGAAGAAAUGAUAGCGUAAAAUAUAUAUAUUUUUUCCUUUCGGGCGUUCCGAGAAAUUACUCAGAAGAGCUCUAUCUUUUGACCGGUGGUAAAAAAUCUGCCGUUUUAACCUGUGCGCAAUCCCAGAUUUUUAACUAGUACCAAUAUACAGGAUGUGGUGGCUUCUCAAAGGUGUUGUAGCACUUCUUUGUGUUCUCAUUUUGACAUCUAUCAAGCUAAAGUAGAAUGUGAUGAAUGGAUAUUCACUAGCGUAUCUACAGUUUUCUUUUUCUUUCUUUCUUUCUUUCUAUAACAUUUCAAACUCAUUCGUUUAUGAUUGUUUUCUGCAAUUAUGUUUGUCUCCCAGUUUCUGAUUAAUGUCUCUUUUUAUUUUAAAUGGACUGCUGUGAACGGACUCUUUUUGUUUUCUCUUCCUAUUUUGGCUGGAUCGAAAAGUCUUCUACUGUGUUGAUACAGCUGUAGUGUCGCAUGCUCCAAUAUUUUCGGACUUGCUGAACGGUAGUUCUUCAAUUUAUAGCGUCACCCCACUUCUUGCAUUGUAUCAAAUUAGGUGCUUUGAUGGUGGGUAUCUACUAUUCAUAACUGUCAAUUUAGUAAACAUCAAUUUUGUCACAAGAUGCGUACUAUGUAUGCUAGUGCUUCAUUCUCUCUUUCUUCGGUUCUAGUAGGUAUGGGUGGCUGCUACUAUUGGUGCCUUUUACUUUGCAUAAACAAAAGGGAUACACGCUUACUUACUUCGAUUAACUCCCACCUGAAGUAUCCUUCUCCCUCCACACUCCGACCUCGUUCUUUGUUUAUCUUCCUAUUUAUACCAGUUUCUCAAUUAAGAGUAUUUGAAACUAAGCAAGAAUAGACUUGUGGUGACUCUUGAUGGUGAUAUUUUGUCUAAUCCAUGUCGUACCACAUCAUUAGUACGCUUAGUACUUCGUCAUGAAGCAACCGAAAACAGCAUAUAAAAGGGACAUCCUUAUUAAAGAAGGAACCACAAGGACACUUCAAGGCCAGUAUCGCUAGUGCCAGCACAGUAGAAGGAAGAGAACUAUAGAAGGUAUAUCUAGGAAAUGUUCCAAUAUUCAAUGAGGUAAACCCAACAUAGCUAAGAAGUUCACCUAGACUGCAAACCUAGAACAUCUAAAAAGCAAUGAAUGAUGUACGUAAUCUAGCCUUUGUAGUAUGUAGCGUUCAGCAGGAAAGCUAUGUCUAGAAAUGAGAAGCCCGUAGAAAACUACUUUAAUGAACAUGCCUCAGAUGGACAGCAAAGCUGAAUGAUUGCUUAGUUGAGCAGAACAUGCCUAUGUGAUCUAAUAAAUUGCACAAUACCAUGUUAGGAGGGUAAAGAACCCAUGCAUGAACAGAAGUUAUAUGCCCUAUACACUUAAAACAUUUAGUGGACCGGUGAACCUCCCCGUUUGUCAUGAUUCUGAUCUUUUUUUCUUUUUUUUAAUAUGAUCUGCGUGUGGAAUGAGCUACGAAACAAUUCUUGUUCAAUUGAUCUUAUUGAUGAAUUAUCCGAUACUUCGGUUUGGCAGCAAUCCUGAUGCAAAAUCCUGCUGCAAUAUCAUCACCAUUUAAAAGAAAGGAAAAUGAUAUAAACAUAAUGGAUUGAAUCUAGCAUCAAUCGAAAGUCAAUCAACAAAUGUCCAAUUCCAUGACCUCAAUUUCACCUCAGAAGCAGCUAAGAAAACUUACGGGAAGAGGAGGGAGGAGCUAUGCGGUGAAAAGAGGAGGAACAGCUUGCUGUAGGAACUACAGUGGCAUUGCCGUGGUGGUACUCAAUCCCCAGGUACAUUGGAGGUCGCACUUCCACCCUGUUCUUUGCUUCAUUUUUCUUUCAAUUUAUAUCAGUUUCUCAAGUAAGAGUAUUUGACACUGAGCAAGAACAGACCUGUGAGCAUGAACAGAAUGAUAGCCCAUGGGGUGGUCACUCUUGCUGGCGAUAUUUGUAUAAUCCACGUCAUACCUACAUUGUUAGUACACUCAUUACUUCCUCAUGAAGCAGUCAAAAAGCUACAUAUGAAAGAGACUUCCUUAAAAUAUAAAAGAAACCACAAGGGCACUUUGAGGCCGGUAUCAUUAUGCCUGCAAAGCAAAAGGAAGAGAAUUAUGGAGGAUAUAUCUAGGAAAUGCUGCAAUAUUAGAUGAGGUAAACCCAACGUGGCUAAGAACUCACCCAAACUGCAAACCUAGAAAAUCUGAGAAGCCAUGGAGGAUACAUAACCAAGCCUCCGUAAUAUGUAGCGUUCAGCAGGAAAGCUACGCCUAGAAAUGAGAGAAUUUGCUUUGAGGAUUGGAAGCACAUAGAAAAGUGCUUUUCCAGAUGUGCCUCGGAUGGACAUCAAGUUGAAUGAUUAGCUUAGUUGAACACCCCUCUGUGAUUUGAUUCCAAUCAAACUAGUCAAAACACAUUAAUAACUUCCACAAUGCAAUGUUAGGAGGGUAAAGAACUCAUGCAUGCACAGGAGAUAGAUGUUCAAUGCAUACAUUUAAAACGUUUAGUGGACCUUGUGAACCACCCCGUUUGUCAUGAUUUUGAUCUGACUACAUCAGCAAUCGAACACACAUUAACAUAUAAGUAAACAGGAUUACAUGAUACAACCUCUUGGUUGAAGUGAUUCAUGUAGAACCAAAACAUACCCUCCAAGUUCUCAGUCUGUUCCUGUUUGUAAUGCCUAGCAUGGCAAUCAUGAAAAUGGUGACUACAUUCCCACCAAACACCACAAUUGCGGACAGCGUUAAGGAGAAGCCAAUCCAAGAAUAGUGAAACUGCCAUACUACUCCAUUUGAACCAGAAAAGACAAGGUAUCAAAUUUAAAGGAUAUAUAUUACUAAAGCAAUCGAAAAAUCUAUUUCCAUCCUACACUUGAAAAGCCACAAACGGAGCUGCUCAAUCAAAAUCCCCUAAAACAACAGAUGCUCCAUUAACUAGUUAACGAACGAAUGAAACUACUUAAACAUUAAUCAUCAUAUUACUUAUUUCCAUAGAGAAUGGGCCAUAGGGACGAGAGAGAAGUGUGCAGUGAAAGCUUGUUUAAGUGGAGUCCUGUGAUCAUUCUUUUUCUCUACAGUUGUAAUGGAACUUCGCACUUGUGGAUAUAUAUUAAAACCAGUAAGUGUGAGAGAUAGCUCGAUGAUCACCGAGUUGAAAUAAAAGGCCUUAACCAAAAAUUUGAAAGGUGAGAGCAUCACGUGAUCCGUUCUAAAUUUGGCAUCAAAAGUCAUUGCAUCUGACACAUAUCUAAAGAUACAGAAAUUACAUGCCGAGAAAAGAUUCAUUGAUGAAAAUAUGUAGAUAGAAGCCCCGAUCAAGACAAUGGCAAAAGAUCAGAAACACCACAAGCGCAAGGCGAAAGUGAUUUGUCAAAACCACUAUGGUUUGCGAGUAAAGCGAUCGGAAUGAGCAACAGAACAAUUCUCAUUCAACCGAUCUCACCGGAAGAGUUUUCCGAUACUCCGAUUUGGCAACAACCCCAAUGCGGAAACCUGCUGCGAUAUCAUCACCAAUUAAAAGAUGCAAAGGAAAAAAAAAUGAUAUCAAUAUAACGGACUGAAUCUAGCCAUCAUCGAAAUUCAAUCAAAAAACGUCAAAUUCCAAGAUCUCAAUUUCGCCUCAGAAGCAACUAAAAAAACCUACGGGAAGGGGAAGGGGCAGGAGCCGCAUGGUGUAAAAAGGAGGAACGGCCCACCGUAGGGACUACGGUGGUGAUGCCGUGGUGGCUCUCAAUCCUCGGAUACAUCGGAGAUCAGAUAUCCCAACGACGGUGAUGGCUUGGUGUGAAACGGAGGAGAGGAAGAAAUGGAGGAGUUUCCAAGAAGUGCAACAGAAGGGACCGGAAAACAUGAAAUUGAAAAGGAAAAAAGUAAUCCUGAUUCAUUUGGGAAUUUUUUAAAUUUUUUUUUACCCAAUAACAAAAUUUCCUCAAUUUAAAUCGCUAGAAAAUGCCGAUUGUAGUGAACAUUUGUCCGGUUGACGAGUUUAAAUUCUUAUUUAAAAUGAAAUCCAUUUUAAACUCAUUGUUAGAAAAAAAAAAUUAUCUCAUUUUAGAUUUUUAUUUGAAAUUUUUCUUAAAUUAUGUAAUGGCUAUUUUAGCGAUAAAUAAGUCCUCAAACAUGAAAAUGAAAAGGGUGAGGGGGUUCUGGUGGUGGUCCCCAAUAUGCUGAUGUUAGGAAGCUUGACAAUAUAAAAAUGCAGGAGCUGGACUUCAAAGAUUUUCAUAAAGGUUUGUUGGGCGAAAAUUAUUCAUCUUAUUGUCUAUCAACAUGCGGUGAAAACCUUUACCAAAAAAAAAAAAAAAAACAUGCGGUGAAAAUCUCCGUACUUUUUUUUUUCUUGAUUUUAAGCUUCCCUGGCAAUGGAGGAGCCGGUUGCACAAAGACUCGUGGACCUCGACUUGGAAAAGCUUUUGGACUAUUAUCAAAGAAAAAAUUGUUGGAUGAUGAUUAUUGACCUUUCAUUAUUUCCAUUUUGAAGAGUUUUGAUAUUCUAUAUGCUUAUUUAUCCUAUAUUCUUCUUCUUUACAAACGAAAUUGUCAGCAUGAAAUGACGAUUCAUUACAAAAGAUAUUUACCUGUAAUAAUUCUUUCUUUUAAUCAAUAUGAGAACUAAUAAGAUCCAUCCGUGUGAUCUCAAAUCCAACAAGAUUCCUUUUUUUUUUUUUGGGCACAUCAUCUCCAUCAAAAUUGAUGAGAUUUUAUUACUCAUUGUUAAGUUGCAAAGGUGGUAAUUUAACAUGUGUACAGCGGAGAGAUUAUUGUUUACUAAUUUAUUCGUGUAAUCUCCCACAUUUAAGUUUAUUAACCAAAUCGAUCCAUUACGAAAUAUGCAUGUUGGACUAGGUUGGGCUUUUUGAGGAUAACUUAUUUCCUAAAUCUCUCCAUUUGACAUCAAACCUAGUGAAAGGGCGUAAAAGGACAGAUAGAGCAUCCAUGCCUAUAAUCAAAUCCAGUGAACACGAAUCUAGCAACCUAAUGAGUCCAUCCAUUAUUUGUGUAAAGUUAAGACAUUGUAAGGAGAGGCCCGAGUUAUAUAUUGAAAAAGUAUCAACGUCAAGAAUGUGAAAAAUCCUCGAAGCUCAUUUCAUUAUAGUUCAAAGUAUCGAAACUCCAUACAACUACGGAAAUUUAUUAUAGGAAAAAAAAUACUCGGCAUUUCUAUUGGGCUUCAACUUGUCUGACAAAGCCCAGGCUGUCGGAGGGCCCGAAUAUAUACCAAGCCUAUUUUUCUGCCCAAGGCGUAGUUUCGAAUCUCGGUCCCAGCCCAAGCACGAAACUGAUCCAUACGGUCUAGCCCUCAACAUAAGGUAAGUUGAGGUCGUUCGUAAAGCAUGCUCGUUUGCGGGCGUGAAUUGACAAUGCAAUCCGAAGGAGAAAUUGGUCCAAAAGCGAGACUUGCCCUACUUGAUAAGCAAGCUUCGCACCCCCUAUAAUUACAUAAGUAUCGUUGCAGAGGAAUGGUGCCUUAACUUUAACACAUUUUGGCUCUCUUUCUCAUUUCACACCCCUAUAAAUACACUUAUUCUUUUCAAUAAAAAAAAAGAUUAUACUUACUUAACCUCUCUAUCUUGCAAUUAUUGCAUAUUAGUGAUCACUUCAUGUUAACAUUGCCAUUUUUUUUUCUUUUUUAUUUGUUAAAAAAGAUUCAAAUUGCAAAAUACACUUACUCUUUACUAUAAUAAAUUAAGCUUCCUAAACCCCCACGAUUGUAAUAGUUGAUUGGGGUGUCAGGGAUCUCCGAUUUGAGAAUUAGAGAUUGCUUGUUUGAAUCACAAAUACUGUAUGCAAGUUAUUCUGAGUUAUAGCCACCUAUACAGGUCAUAGCUUUAAGCUCAACCUAUUCAACUUGUAGUAUUUUUGUAAUGGGCUUUAAGUAGAAGAGUCUCCCUGCCCACGCCCAUGGAUUAUUAAAAAAAUAAAAAUAAAAACAUACUCUAGGAGAAUACUAAUAUAAUAUAGCAAUUUUUUUAUACGCUCUUCUUCCUCAUAAACUAGGUAAUCAACUUGGUUACAAGGAGAACGUCCCUUGGGACUUAAUAAAUCAUAUAUAUAUACACACACUUAUUUAUUUUCAUAUACAUACUUAUUUAUUUUCGAUUAGAUAUCAGUCAUCACCUUUUUGAAUAGGCAUAUUAAAUAUAUGAAUUUAUGAGCAAUUUGACAUGGUGUUCCAAUAAAUGAGGUUGGCAAGAAAAUUAAGCAACUUCAAGUAUACCUUUUGAACUGAGCCUUUUUUUUUUCACUUAUAGCGAUCAUUAUGAGAGCUUCCUAUCAAUAGAUCCAUGAAGAUUUGAAAGAUAAUACAUGGAAAGUCAAGACUAAUUUUCAAUUAAUGGUCAACAUUAAUUAGAUAAGGGGGUCUAAGUUAGCCCAAGUCUAACCUGUCAACAAGUAGUUCAAUAUCAAAAACUGCAAAUCAAUAUAUAAAUUAACGACAAGGUCACUUUAGAACUGUGAAUCGAAUGAUAUUAUGAUUACCAUCACUAAAAACAUAUCAAACACUCUGUAAUUUAUGACAUGAAUCAAAAUCUUAAUAUAGUAAAUAGGAAAAUUACCGGCUAAGCAGUUGAAUCAAUAGGAUAGGGCCACACAGAAGCACACGAGUGCAUACUAAAAUUCGGAUUUGACGAAUUUGUUCCUUCCAAAACUCAAGCAAAAAGGAAAACGAAGAAAAGAUAAAGAACCUUUACAGACAAAAAAAGCACAAUCAAUGCUUUGGAAUUUUGAUAAUGCUUGUUCCUUACCUACGGAAUGUUUCUGGCACUUUAAUACAAACCGUUCGAUUGAUAUUACUAAUUCUCAACCGUCGAUUAUCAGCUUUUCCAAUUAAAGGUUGCUGUGUUUCGACGCUUCCGUUCCUUCACCACUUCUUUGGGUGGGUCCGUUAAUUUGUCUUUUGACUUCUUUUUUUAAAAGUACUUAUUCUUUCGUCCACUUGGUAAGAUUCUAAGCGUAAUUCAUCGAAGGCAUCUUGAUAUCAAGCACACGAAUACUAUCUAUAUCUUUUCUCGUGUUCUCGGGUAUUGAUAAGUUGAUGUGGUUAGUGGACAAGAAGGUCUAGAUAAGUUUGUAGUCAUUUUAUAGAGCGGAAUCUACUCCUUGAAGAUAUGAGUACUCGGUAUUCAUUUCCAACUUUUCCGCUUUUGAAAAGUAAAAGAGUGAUAAAGGGCAAUGGGUGUCAACAAUACCCCGGGCAUUACCAUGGUCUAAAACUAUGGUAAGGAGGAGCUUCCAAACUUUACCGUUGGAACCAAAACCCCAUAUAUGUAAGAAGUCAUUUUCUCACUUCCUUGUUUCAGUUUACAUUUGUAAAUGAGACCACAUUCGAGUGAGCAAAGUCUAUUUUUGUUGGUUUGGGGCGAAAAAUUCUCUUAAGGUUUCCGGGCUUUGCACUUGAGUAAUUUUGACAUCAAUAUUGCAAUCAUAAUAUAUGUAGCACGGGCACUCUCCGAAAGUCUUUGUGUCGUGUCCAACACUCCGACACGCGGUCAACGAGUGUCGAAAAAUCCGACAUGUGGUCAACUCUCUCCGACACGCGAGUCCAGAAUUCUGACACACGAUUCCAACACGCACGGGUCAAUUUUAAAAAUUUCUAAUACUUGAGGGGUCAAAAUAUAAAUAUACACAAAAGAAGUAAUAAAAUUGCUAUAAAUAUACACGCAUGGGUCAAUUUUUCUUUUUAGUUUUGUUUUUUUAUAAUUGUUUUAGUUUUUUUAAAAGUCUUUUACUAUGAAAGAAGUAAUAAAAAAUGCUAUAUAUGAUAAAUAAAUAAAUUUAAAAAUAUCAUUUCAGCAUUUUUCUUUAAACAAUAUUUUUUUCCUCUAAGUUUUAUGUAUUAUUGUAACAAAUUAAAAUAAUGAAUGAUAUUAUUUAAUAUUUUUCGUGUAAAUUAAUUCUAGGCUAUUAUUAUUAUUAUUAUUAUUUAUGUAUUUAUAUAUAAAAAUAUAUUUAAUAUAUAACAUGUCGGAACGUGUCGAAAUUCUCCAUUUUUAAGAAAUGAUGUGUCGGCGUAUCGUAUAAUGUCAUGUCGUGUCGCGUGUCGCGUGUCGUGUGUUCGUGUCGGUGCUAUAUAGAUCGUAACAAUCAAUUGGAAGAAAACGAUUAUUAUGAUCAUGGCAUUGGAAAAAGAAUAUCAAGCAUUGUCUAAUUUCUGACGUGAAUUGAAGUUUCAACAUGGUAAAAAGGAAAACUUACCGCUGAAGUACUUGAAUCAAAAGGACGGGGCCUUGAAGAAAAGCACACAAGUGAAUAAGAAGUUUUGGAUCUGAUAAUCGUUCAUUAUGCAGCUCAAAGCAAAAAGGAGAAAAAAGAAAAAGAAAAAGUAAAGAGCCUCAACAUUCCAAGUUCUUACUUUACGGUCUUUUCUUAUGACAUCCUAUAAAAGUUAUUAUUUCCAAGAAAGCAGCCAAACAUUAUCACCAGAAUAAGAUGAUUGGACCAUUCAUGCAAAAAAUGGGUUCGAUAUGUAUUCUUUUGUCCGAUAAAGCUCUGUCAUUGGAAAAGAAAAAAAGCAUUGCAUGUUGCUCACGAAUAAUUUAACUAGACUUUGGAUAAUGGGGUGUCCCCACUCCCCACUCCCACUCCACUUCUACCAAAGAUGUUUCAUAAGAAAAGCUAAAAAGAUGAAAGCGUCAAUUAUUCGAUAAUGACUUGGCACAAGGAGCACCACACACGAGAGACUUUGGCUAUAUAAUGUGGAUUUGAUUAUUAUACUUGUUCUUUCUACUUUUAUGAUUGAAACAUUACGUAAAGAAUGAUUCGGCAUUUUAAUACCAAAUCUCAGCUGUUGAUUGUCGACUUUUCCAGCAAAAAGAGUAGCUGUGUUUCAACGCUACCCUUCCUUCAUCCACUUUUCUAGUGGCCCCGUCGAUUUGUCCUGGAUGCUUCCCUGAGAAUUGCUUCAUUGAACCGAAAGCAAAAAUUCACGAGGCUAUAAAAGAAAUAUUUCUCUAGUGAGCCUUCCAUUCCAUCAGAACCUUUGAAAAAUAGUUAAGAAAAUCUUCUAAAUUAACUAUACAUAUAGACAAACACACAUUUACGCUCCCAAUUUAGCUUAAAUCACAUCUUUCAUGUAAGCUGACCAAAAUGUUCUCCACACAUAAGUGUACACUUAAGCAUUAAUAGACCCGCCUUUUAUUUAAAAAGAAUAUAUUUGCCUUUUUCAUUUUCUCUCAAAUCUAUUGUCUUGCGUCUUUUCUUAUCUAUUGUAGACUCUUGAUAAGAGAUUUUGAUAUGAAUCCUCUCACUUACUCUUCUUAUUUCAGAAUUUUUUUUAUACAAGAAUCUAUCUUAAGAGCAUCUUCAGCCUAUGAAUCACCAACAUCAAUAAUAUCCAUAUAAAUAUUUAUAGAACCAUCCAUAUUAGUCAUAACUUUCAGAAAAAUGAUUCUUUUUAAAAAAGUUAAAAAUUAUUUUUCAAAGUAUGAUAAAGUAUGAAUGCUUGGAUUAGAAAUUCCGUGAUUGGGUACAGAUACUCUAACGUUGGUUUCCCAGCCCUUGACAGCGGGAUCGAGUCUAUCGAGGCCAGGUUCUAGACCUUAAUGCCCAUGCCUAGGUCGUUGACUCUUGAGUCCAAAUCUAUUGAGGCGAGGCUCGCGAUUUCUGUGCAUUCUGCCUUGGUAUAUGUUGAAUAUGUAGGUGUUAUAUACAUUUCAAAUUCAAAUUCACGCAAGCGAGCGCAUGCAAAUAUCUAUGAAAAUGUCUACUAUCAUGAGGAAGAAUAAAGUUGCCCUUUAAUGAAUUUUCUCAAGUAUUUUGCAAGUUCCGAGGGUCGACUCGUGCUUUCUUUCUGCCUCUGCCUUGGUAUAUGGUCCACAUGAUAAAUUGACAUGAUGGCAGACUAAGCAAAGUGACAUGUCACGUGUUCUCUUUCGUCAAACGGUACAAUAAUUGCUAUUCUACGUCAUGUCACGUGAAUGGCUUAAGUCGAAUCGUUUGUUUACUUUUUAAUAGCUGAUAAUCAUCUCUUUCUUUCUCCAUUCGAUCGCUAUUCCACGCUCCCCUUCAUCCAUUUUUGGCGCUCGAAUCUCUUCGCCAUCGUUCGUCUCUCGCUCUGUUUCGCUCUUUCUUCCCCUCGGCACACCCAUUCUUCCUCAUCCUCUUCCUGCUCUUCCUCCUCUUCAGUAUCUGCUGCUCUUUUUCAUCGUUCGAUUGCCUAUUCUACGCUCCCCUUCCUUCGUCCUUCUUUGGCACUCGAAUCUCUUCGCCUUGUUCGUCUCGCGCUCUGUUUCGCUCUUUCUUCUCCUCGGCACACCCAUUCUUCCUCAUCCUCUUCCUCCUGUCUUCCUCCUUUUUCUGUGCUCAAAUCUCUUGGCUUUGCUCGUCUCUUGCUCUGUUUCGCUCUUUCUUCUCGUCGGCUCAACCAUUCUUCUUCCUCCUCCUCCUCCUCCUCCUCCGCUUCCUCUUUAGUUUCUGCUGCUCCUUUUCAUCAUUCUCCCUCUCCGUCUCUCUUUUUUCUCGCUCUUUCUUUCUCU
rnacentral:lncRNA from 1 species